rnacentral:rRNA from 1 species
UACGUAGGGUGCGAGCGUUGUCCGGAAUUAUUGGGCGUAAAGAGCUCGUAGGCGGCCUGUCGCGUCGGAUGUGAAAGCCCGGGGCUUAACCCCGGGUCUGCAUUCGAUACGGGCAGGCUAGAGUGUGGUAGGGGAGAUCGGAAUUCCUGGUGUAGCGGUGAAAUGCGCAGAUAUCAGGAGGAACACCGGUGGCGAAGGCGGAUCUCUGGGCCAUUCUGACGCUGAGGAGCGAAAGCGUGGGGAGCGAACAGG